rnacentral:rRNA from 1 species
GUUUGAUCCUGGCUCAGAGCGAACGUUAGCGGCGCGCCUAACACAUGCAAGUCGCACGAGAAAGGGCUUCGGCCCCAGUAAAGUGGCGCACGGGUGCGUAACACGUAGGCAAUCUUCCCUCGAGCGGGGGAUAACGUUUCGAAAGAGACGCUAAUACCGCAUAAGACCACGGCUUCUUCGGGAGCUGCGGUCAAAGCUGGCCUCUUCAUGAAAGCUAGCACUCGAGGACGAGCCUGCGGCCCAUCAGCUAGUUGGUAGGGUAAUGGCCUACCAAGGCGAAGACGGGUAGCUGGUCUGAGAGGAUGAUCAGCCACACUGGCACUGAAACACGGGCCAGACUCCUACGGGAGGCAGCAGUGGGGAAUAUUGGACAAUGGGCGCAAGCCUGAUCCAGCGACGCCGCGUGAGUGAUGAAGGCCUUCGGGUUGUAAAGCUCUGUUGAGGGAGAAGAAAACAGUUGGCGCGAAUAGCUCCAGCUCUUGACGGUAUCCCUUUAGAAAGCACCGGCUAACUCUGUGCCAGCAGCCGCGGUAAGACAGAGGGUGCAAACGUUGCUCGGAAUUACUGGGCGUAAAGCGCGUGUAGGCGGGCCUCCAAGUCGGACGUGAAAGCCCUGAGCUCAACUCAGGAACUGCAUCCGAAACUGAAGGCCUGGAGUAGUGGAGAGGGAAGCAGAAUUCCUGGUGUAGAGGUGAAAUUCGUAGAUAUCAGGAGGAACACCGGUGGCGAAGGCGGCUUCCUGGACACUUACUGACGCUGAGACGCGAAAGCGUGGGGAGCAAACAGGAUUAGAUACCCUGGUAGUCCACGCCGUAAACGAUG